UACAGAGGUCUCAAGCGUUGUUCGGAUUCAUUGGGCGUAAAGGGUGCGUAGGCGGCGCGGCAAGUCGGGUGUGAAAUCUCGGAGCUUAACUCCGAAACUGCAUUCGAUACUGCCGUGCUUGAGGACUGGAGAGGAGACUGGAAUUUACGGUGUAGCGGUGAAAUGCGUAGAUAUCGUAAGGAAGACCGGUGGCGAAGGCGGGUCUCUGGACAGUUCCUGACGCUGAGGCACGAAGGUCAGGGGAGCAAACGGG
rnacentral:rRNA from 1 species